GUCAGCAUGGUGUAGUGGUUUGAAUGUUGGACUAGGACUCUGGAGACCAGGGUUCGAAUUCCAGGUUGGCC
rnacentral:tRNA from 1 species